rnacentral:rRNA from 1 species
GACGAACGCUGGCGGCGUGCCUAACACAUGCAAGUCGAGCGGGGAUUUAAGUGGAAGUUCUUCGGAAUGGAGAUUUAAAUUCUAGCGGCGGACGGGUGAGUAGCGCGUGAACAAUCUGUCCCGGACAGGGGGAUAACACUUGGAAACAGGUGCUAAUACCGCAUAAGACCACGGCCUCGCAUGGGGCUGAGGUAAAAGGAGCAAUCCGGUUCGGGGUGAGUUCGCGUCCGAUUAGCUAGUUGGUGAGGUAACGGCCCACCAAGGCGACGAUCGGUAGCCGGCCUGAGCGGGUGAACGGCCACAUUGGAACUGAGAGACGGUACAAACUCCUACGGGAGGCAGCAGUGGGGAAUAUUGGGCAAUGGGCGAAAGCCUGACCCAGCAACGCCGCGUGAGGGAAGAAGGUUUUCGGAUUGUAAACCUCUGUCCUAUGGGACGAAGGAAGUGACGGUACCAAAGGAGGAAGCCCCGGCUAACUACGUG